CAAAAUGUACCUCCAAGGUUGGGACAAGCAGAAAGACUGGGACCACUGUGAAGCGAAAGAUGAUCCGUGGCCCAUGCUUUCUGGACAUUUACACAAGACGAACAACAAUGAAGACAAGCUCUCUCGCCAUCUUACAAGACGCUGUCUCUGUCCAAUAGGUUUUUUGAGUGCAACAGUUUUGAUUUUUUUUUUCCUUCUUUUACCCGUUUGUUAAAAAUUAUUUCAGCUACUUACACUUUAAUUGUCACAUGUAUUGGCUCACCCUACAAAUCAAUGAACUCAGUCCACAAGGCAAGAUCAGGGUUCAGU